rnacentral:rRNA from 1 species
CCCUUAGUUUGAUCCUGGCUCAGGACGAACGCUGGCGGCGUGCCUAAUACAUGCAAGUCGAGCGAGCGGAACUAACAGAUUUACUUCGGUAAUGACGUUAGGAAAGCGAGCGGCGGAUGGGUGAGUAACACGUGGGGAACCUGCCCCAUAGUCUGGGAUACCACUUGGAAACAGGUGCUAAUACCGGAUAAGAAAGCAGAUCGCAUGAUCAGCUUUUAAAAGGCGGCGUAAGCUGUCGCUAUGGGAUGGCCCCGCGGUGCAUUAGCUAGUUGGUAAGGUAAAGGCUUACCAAGGCGAUGAUGCAUAACCGAGUUGAGAGACUGAUCGGCCACAUUGGGACUGAGACACGGCCCAAACUCCUACGGGAGGCAGCAGUAGGGAAUCUUCCACAAUGGACGCAAGUCUGAUGGAGCAACGCCGCGUGAGUGAAGAAGGUUUUCGGAUCGUAAAGCUCUGUUGUUGGUGAAGAAGGAUAGAGGUAGUAACUGGCCUUUAUUUGACGGUAAUCAACCAGAAAGUCACGGCUAACUACGUGCCAGCAGCCGCGGUAAUACGUAGGUGGCAAGCGUUGUCCGGAUUUAUUGGGCGUAAAGCGAGCGCAGGCGGAAGAAUAAGUCUGAUGUGAAAGCCCUCGGCUUAACCGAGGAACUGCAUCGGAAACUGUUUUUCUUGAGUGCAGAAGAGGAGAGUGGAACUCCAUGUGUAGCGGUGGAAUGCGUAGAUAUAUGGAAGAACACCAGUGGCGAAGGCGGCUCUCUGGUCUGCAACUGACGCUGAGGCUCGAAAGCAUGGGUAGCGAACAGGAUUAGAUACCCUGGUAGUCCAUGCCGUAAACGAUGAGUGCUAAGUGUUGGGAGGUUUCCGCCUCUCAGUGCUGCAGCUAACGCAUUAAGCACUCCGCCUGGGGAGUACGACCGCAAGGUUGAAACUCAAAGGAAUUGACGGGGGCCCGCACAAGCGGUGGAGCAUGUGGUUUAAUUCGAAGCAACGCGAAGAACCUUACCAGGUCUUGACAUCUAGUGCCAUUUGUAGAGAUACAAAGUUCCCUUCGGGGACGCUAAGACAGGUGGUGCAUGGCUGUCGUCAGCUCGUGUCGUGAGAUGUUGGGUUAAGUCCCGCAACGAGCGCAACCCUUGUUAUUAGUUGCCAGCAUUAAGUUGGGCACUCUAAUGAGACUGCCGGUGACAAACCGGAGGAAGGUGGGGAUGACGUCAAGUCAUCAUGCCCCUUAUGACCUGGGCUACACACGUGCUACAAUGGGCAGUAUAACGAGAAGCGAGCCUGCGAAGGCAAGCGAAUCUCUGAAAGCUGUUCUCAGUUCGGACUGCAGUCUGCAACUCGACUGCACGAAGCUGGAAUCGCUAGUAAUCGCGGAUCAGCACGCCGCGGUGAAUACGUUCCCGGGCCUUGUACACACCGCCCGUCACACCAUGGGAGUCUGCAAUGCCCAAAGCCGGUGGCCUAACCUUCGGGAAGGAGCCGUCUAAGGCAGGGCAGAUGACUGGGGUGAAGUCGUAACAAGGUAACCGUAAAGGGC